UACCGCUGGACUCACUGCCACAC
rnacentral:siRNA from 1 species